rnacentral:lncRNA from 1 species
UGGGAUUUAGGGUGAUUUAAGUCGUGAUUACUGAAGCCAUUAGCAGCCAAGGCCAUGCUGAGGGAGGGAGUGUGGGGAAAGUUGGAGAUGGUCAUUAACUUUACAUUGGCCUGGGCUGAUUUCUGCACGUGGCAAUCACAAGCCUGCAGAAAUUCCACAACUGGGGAAAAUGGACUGGACACCAGGUGGGAAAGAGAGAGUGACAGGAACUUCCCCAGUGACACAGACAGGGCAAGAAGCCGAUAAAUUUAUAAAACACCUAAAGUGAAGAAAAGAAAGAAUCUAAUCCAAUUUCAAGUCACUGUGUUGGAAACUGUCCUUACUCACAAACUGGGGCCUUGCCACUGGCAUGUGUCUGUCCAUAGCUUCAAGAUGAGUUUGGAGUGAAGAGGACACAGCAAGGAGGUUAAAUCGAGGCUUCCGGCAGUGCAGUGUCGUCAGUGCUUUCAUGCCAAGUGCUUUACAUUUUCACCCUGGACUGGCCUUCCAGCUAUUGUGGUUACCUUCACCACCUAACCUGUCACUUAUACCGAACAACAGUUUUACCUGUCCACACCGUGCCUCAUUCACCUAGGUAACACUUAAACCAAGGUUCUGGUUGCCAUUGUGAAAUGCUCCUAGCAAUUUCUCUUGUAAGGAAGAGUCAGCUUUUUAUAAAGAUGUCUUACUAUUUAUUGAUUAUCUAAAAAUUUGUUUUUACCGGAGAGGUUUGGACUGAAAGCAAGCUUAAAUGCCUUACUUUAACAUUAAUAAAUCUACCUCAGGUCAUACAGCUCAGAUCUAGAAAUCCCCAGGGCUUGCAUGUCUACAUUGAGAAAACAGUGGUGCAAGACUGCAGGGACAUGGUGUCUUGGUUACUUUUUUCUCGUUGCUGAGACAAAAUACCCAACGUCCAAAAUGAAGGAAGGAAAGGUUUAUUUAGCUUACAGUUUGUGGAGGUUUCAGUCCAUACUUGGCUGGCUCGGAGGCAGAAGAUAGCAAAGCAACAAGAGCAAGGGGGUAAUGGCAGCCGAACAGCAAAGCAGCCAGAGCAAACUGGAGGAAUGGAGGCAAGCAGCUUCUUUUUCUGCCUUACUUUGUAAACAGGCUACCCCCCCUAAGGGGCGUGUAGCUCUCACAUAAUCUCCAUGCCCUCCUCAUCCACAGGCUCAGGAUGUAUACAAAGUAAGCACCCUGGCUUCCUGCUGAGUUACUUAGCCAAACCUCUAGACUUCCCAAGUUGACACAAUGUAUCAACCAUAACACAUGGGAUGGAGGUUCUUGGCCCCAAGGGUGUCCUGACCAAUCAGAGUUGUAAUAUUAGGUGCUGUUGGGAUCAAGGAUUGAAUAAUCUAGUGAGACUGUCUGUGUCUACACUGCUCCUGAUAUGAGAGAGGCUAGCCAGUAACUGGCUCCCUGGCUGGAUUCCCAUUUCUAUCAUUAACCAUCUGUGUGAUUUGGAGUGAUGAGAGCUAGAGUUAGCAGUAAAUAAAAUGCUUUAUUUUCUAACCAGAUUCCCUGGGACUGUGGUUCUCAAAGUGCAUGACUAGAGGCAGCAAAAUCACCUCAGGGACUUAAAAAUGGAUCAUCGGGCUCUGCUUCAAUUUGCGAUUCACUUGGUCUACAGUUUUGUAUUUUCUAGGAACUGCUAGCCCAGGGAUCAUACUUUGUGAGUCAAUAACCUAGUGCAAGCAAACUUAACUUUUUUGUUCUUGAAUUUUCUUCACUAUAAUGUGAAAAUGACAAUAGCAUCUACUUCCCAGAGUGCUUUUGAGAUUAGUUACAACUACAUAGGAAAAGGCCUUAGAGUUCUAUGUGAUAGGCUGUAACUAUUCAAUAAGGAC